rfam:Zancudomyces culisetae strain COL-18-3 mitochondrion, complete sequence, whole genome shotgun sequence.
AAAAUAAUAGUUUAAAAGGUAAAAUAUGGGAUAAAAAUCCUAGGUUAUAAGUUCGAAUCUUAUGUAUUUUU